rnacentral:rRNA from 1 species
UACCUACGGGCGGCUGCAGUGGGGAAUAUUGCACAAUGGGCGCAAGCCUGAUGCAGCCAUGCCGCGUGUAUGAAGAAGGCCUUCGGGUUGUAAAGUACUUUCAGCGGGGAGGAAGGGAGUAAAGUUAAUACCUUUGCUCAUUGACGUUACCCGCAGAAGAAGCACCGGCUAACUCCGUGCCAGCAGCCGCGGUAAUACGGAGGGUGCAAGCGUUAAUCGGAAUUACUGGGCGUAAAGCGCACGCAGGCGGUUUGUUAAGUCAGAUGUGAAAUCCCCGGGCUCAACCUGGGAACUGCAUCUGAUACUGGCAAGCUUGAGUCUCGUAGAGGGGGGUAGAAUUCCAGGUGUAGCGGUGAAAUGCGUAGAGAUCUGGAGGAAUACCGGUGGCGAAGGCGGCCCCCUGGACGAAGACUGACGCUCAGGUGCGAAAGCGUGGGGAGCAAACAGGAUUGGAUACCCCUGUAGUCUCU